ensembl:lncRNA CCDC144BP coiled-coil domain containing 144B, pseudogene
UUGACCUUACAGAAGCACAGGAAACUGUACCUUCACGAUGUCUACAUCUGGAUGCAGAGAAUGAAGUUCUUCAACUUCAACAGACAUUAUUCUCUAUGAAAGCAAUACAAAAGCAAUGUGAAACACUACAGAAGAAUAAGAAGCAGCUGAAACAAGAAGUAGUAAACCUCAAAAGUUAUAUGGAAAGAAAUAUGUUAGAACGUGGUGAAGGUGAACGGCAUAAACUGUUGAUUGAAGAAAGAGCAAGGAAGGAGAUACAAGAAAAAUUAAACGAAGCCGUUCUCACCUUGCAGAAACAAGCAGCAGUAUCUCAUGAACAGUUAGCACAGUUAAGGGAGGAUAAUACUACUUCAAUAAAAACUCAGAUGGAACUCACAAUCAAAGAUCUGGAAUCUGAAAUCUCCAGAAUAAAAACUUCGCAAGCCGACUUUAAUAAAACCGAAUUGGAAAGAUAUAAGGAACUCUACCUAGAAGAAGUAAAAGUUAGAGAAUCCUUGUCAAAUGAACUCAGUAGAACUAAUGAGAUGAUAGCAGAGGUCAGUACGCAACUUACUGUGGAGAAAGAGCAGACCAGAUCCAGAUCUCUAUUCACUGCUUAUGCUACAAGGCCAGUCCUAAGUCACCUUGCGUUGGAAAUCUUAAUGAUAGUGAAGGUCUCAACAGAAAACAUAUUCCAAGAAAAAAGAGGUCUGCUCUUAAGGACAUGGAGAGCUACUUGUUGAAGGUUUUCUACCCGUCAUCAUAUGUGAAUGAUUGGUGUCCAAACACUAACCACCCAUGGAUGUUUAUUAUUUAAAAGGACCCAAGG